ACUGCCUUUCUCUGGCUGCUCUGAAGGGGGUGUGUGUGUGUGGAGUGGAGCCUACCACAUUAUCAAAAUAUGUAACUGAAGGAUCACAGCAUGAUUGCCCGUGGUUCCCUUUCUGCCCUUAAGAAGCAAUGAAUAACUCUUCUAAAUUAUGCCGUAAGACUUCUUUUCCAAGAGGCAAUAUAUUCUGCAACCUCAUUGACAAGAUAGUCAAGAGGCCCUCUUUGCAGUUUCUGGGUCAAUGGGGGUACCACUGCUAUGAACCCAGGAUUUACAGAACACUGGCAAAAAUUCUGAGGUAUGUUGACUUGGACGGCUUUGACAUACUCCUCACUGACUAUAUUGCAUUUGUGGAAAAGUCAGGACACCGUUUUGAACUCAAUUUCAAUCUCGAAUUUACUGAAAUUUGUGUGAAUACCAUUCUUUACUGGGUUUUCGCCAGAAAAGGUAAUCCUGACUUUGUGGAACUGCUUCUCAAGAAGACGAAGGACUAUGUCCAAGAUAGAAGCUGCAGCCUGGCACUGAUAUGGAGAACCUUCACACCUGUGUACUGCCCUAGCCCAUUGAGUGGAAUCACACCUCUGCUCUAUGUGGCUCAGACAAGACAGUCAAAUAUCUUAAAAAUUCUCCUGCAGUAUGGAAUCCUAGAAAGAGAAAAAAACCCUAUGAACAUUGUUUUAACAAUACUGCUCUACCCUUCGAGAGUGAGAAUAAUGGUUGAUCAUGAGUUGAUUGACAUUCAAGAAGAUGCCAAGACAUGUUUAAUGCUAUGUUCCAGAGUGCUUUCUGCAAUCUCAGUCCGGGAGAUAGAGGGGUCAUACAAAUAGAGAAGAGCCAUUUUUGGAGAUUUCAGUGCACGGAAAGAUCUCUAAAGGUACCAUCUGAAGGGGGAACUAAAAUACUGCAUACUGAGAAAUGGACUGCAUGGAAAAACUUCAAAACAUUCAUCACAAAUUAAGAAAUUCUCAGAUCUUCAGUAGGAAAAUGCACCUGGAAAACUAUGUGAAACAAAGGUAGGUAAGGUGGUUCAGCAGGUGAAGAGCUAUGGCCAAGCCUAGAGACCGGAAUUCAAUCCCUGGGACCUACAUGGUGGAAGGAGAGGACUGAUUCCCCCAAGAUGUCCUCU